rnacentral:rRNA from 1 species
UACGUAGGGUGCAAGCGUUGUCCGGAAUUAUUGGGCGUAAAGAGCUUGUAGGCGGUUUGUCGCGUCUGCUGUGAAAUUUCGGGGCUCAACCCCGAACUUGCGGUGGGUACGGGCAGACUAGAGUGAUGUAGGGGAGACUGGAAUUCCUGGUGUAGCGGUGAAAUGCGCAGAUAUCAGGAGGAACACCGAUGGCGAAGGCAGGUCUCUGGGCAUUAACUGACGCUGAGGAGCGAAAGCAUGGGGAGCGAACAGG